rnacentral:rRNA from 1 species
AGCAGUAGCCGCGGUAACACGUAGGGUGCAAGCGUUGUCCGGAAUCAUUGGGCGUAAAGCGCGCGUAGGUGGCCAUUUAAGUCCGCUGUGAAAGUCAAAGGCUCAACCUUUGAAAGCCGGUGGAUACUGGAUGACUAGAGUACGGAAGAGGCGAGUGGAAUUCCUGGUGUAGCGGUGGAAUGCGCAGAUAUCAGGAGGAACACCAAUAGCGAAGGCAGCUCGCUGGGACGUUACUGACACUGAGGCGCGAAAGCGCGGGGAGCGAACAGGAUUAGAUACCCCGGUAGUCCCUGUCUCUUAUAC